rnacentral:rRNA from 1 species
GGGGGGGGGGGGGGGGGGGGGGGGGGCGGGGGGGGCGGGGGGGGGGGCGCGGCGGGGGUGGGGUGCUCGAGUGGCGGACGGGUGCGUAACACGUGAGUAACCUGCGCUGGGCUGUGGGAUACCUUCGGGUAGCUGGGGCUAGUACCGGCUCGGGGCUCCUGCUGCAUGGGGGGGGUUGGAACGUUUCGGCGGUUGGGGAUGGACUCGCGGCUUAUCAGCUUGUUGGUGGGGUAGUGGCUUACCAAGGCUUUGACGGGUAGCCGGCCUGAGAGGGUGACCGGCCACAUUGGGACUGAGAUACGGCCCAGACUCCUACGGGAGGCAGCAGUGGGGAAUAUUGCACAAUGGGCGGAAGCCUGAUGCAGCAACGCCGCGUGCGGGAUGACGGCCUUCGGGUUGUAAACCGCUUUCGCCUGUGACGAAGCGUGAGUGACGGUAAUGGGUAAAGAAGCACCGGCUAACUACGUG